rnacentral:lncRNA from 1 species
ACAGUCAUCAACCGAGUUUACUUUUUAAUCAAAAUGACCAUGUUGAAUGCGCUCGUCAUCUUUACCAACAUGACGAAUGCGUUUAACUCGGACAUUUGCCAUAAAACAAGUGUAUUAGGAUGCCUUAAACGAACUUGAUGAAAACAUCCGACACGAUCAUCAACCGAGUUUACUUUUUCAAAAUGACCAUGUUGAAUGCGCUCGUCAUCUUCACCAACAUGACGAAUGCGUUUAACUCGUUCAUUUGCCAUAAAACGAGUGCAUUGGGAUGUCUCAAACAAGUGUUAUUAAAAUAUCCUGUACGAUUAUUUACGAAUUAUUAAACCAACUGAUUGUGCACCGACCUUUCAGUAUCGAAACAAAUCACGUCUUUUCAAAAUGACCAUCUUGAAUGCGCUCGUCAUCUUCAUCAACAUGACGAAUGCGUUUAACCUGGUCAUUUACAAUAAAACGAGUGUAUUGGUGGUCUUAAACGAGUGUGAUUUAAAUAUCCCAUAUGAUCAUCUGUCAUGUCAAUAUCGAAGGAAACCACGUUGUUUCCACAACACUGUGUUUGCUUUCAAAAUGAUUGUAUUGAAAGCGUCAGCUUAAAAAACCUGCACGUCACUAUCUACGAAAAUAAAAUCGCUCCGGAGUAAUUUCGUGACGAAAUCCCCAACGAGAUUGGUGAAUGGUAUAACUUUGCUAUCUUCGAAAACUAGAAAGGUGUAAUUGCCGAAAAUGCUGAACGCUUUCACUCGAAAUCUACGGAGAGGAAAUGAAUACGACGUUAACCACAAAAAUCCUAACAAGCGCUUUUACUUUAAAAAAUGCUGGACACUGUCUUUAUCUGCGAGAUGCUAUCUAAUUACGUAAUGAAGUACCUGGCAAUUUGCCGAAAAACAUAACUGUCAUCAGCUCGAAAUCAUUGAAAAAAUGAAAUGAUUUUCUUUCGCUUUUUACGAAAAUAAAUGGAAGCAAUUUAAGAAUAAAUGCGCGGAAAUUCAAUCAAACGCUUAAACUCUGCUUUCAACGGAAAUAACUGUUGCGUAAUUUUAUAAUAAGAAUUCAGCCAAAUAUGCUCAUUUCAUUUGCAAGGUAGAUCACUUCGGUAUCGCCGAAAAACAAAUCAAAAGAAUUUUCUCUCGCUCUAUUUUAUAUUUAUAUGAACUCGCCGAACUACUUUACCGGGAAAUACUGAAUGAAUUCAUCUCGUUGUCUGCGAAAACUGCCAACUGAUAUCAACUCGUUACCUAAGAAAUUGCUGAAGGCUUUGUACUUUGACAUUUGCAAAAAUUAAAGAAACAUGCCACGUUAUUUCGUAACAAAAUGUCCAACAAAAUUUUCUGACAGAGAUAACAUUAUUACGCAGAAAUAUUUCAAAGCAUUAAAAAAUGAAAAAAGUGCCUAAAUUCAUGAAAAAAGUGGAACGAUAUUCCGAUUUGGCCUCGUUCUCAACAAAAACAAUGAACGCUUUCACUUUGUUAUCUUCAGAAAUAAGAUAGCAGGUAACUUCCCCACGGAAUCGGAAACAAAAUUGCUAAACAAUUUGUACCAAAUGUCUACAUUGAAUUCUGUCAUUUAUUUUACAAAAUAUGAAAGAGCGAGAUGCAGGCCCAACAAAAUCCCCGAGAAUUUCAUCUUAUUUUUCAAACCUUGUGAGGUAGUUUUACAGUAUUUGAAAUCUGAACUUUCAGGAAAUCUGAUUUUUAUCUCGCCGUUACGGAAAUGAAAAACGCCCCCUUAUGCACAUAAAUCGUCAAACGUUUACUUGCAUAAUAGAAAAUAGUAACGGAUUGCCAUCUUACCUACCAAAAAGAGCUAACCGAUUUAUCUUAUCUUAAUUAAAUGCCGGACGAUUUCACCUCGUUGUUGAACAGUUUCCAUUAAUUAUUUACGAAAAGAAGUGAACGAUUUCAAAUUAUCUACCAAAACGAAUUGAACGUUAUCUACGAAUAAAAUGAAAAAGAAAUGGCGAGACAAAACAUACGAAGCCGGUUCCACAUGCACUCCGCAAAAAUGAAUGAUCUCAACUCAUUAUUUUCGCAAACAAAUUGUGAAGCUAUAACGAUUAUCUUCAAAAACAUCUGAGAGGUUUAACGUUGCUCUCUUGGAAAAUAUUACAAAGGGAUAUUCUAAACCGUCAUCUUGGAAAAAUGUUGAUGAAUCUGGUUGGUUGCUCAAGUAGAAGUAGCGUAGUGUUUUAAUGUAUACAGUGAGGCCUAGUCAAAGGAUUAUAAAUUAGGUUUAUAGGUUUAAUAAUUACAGCUUAACCUUGCCACGAAGCGAUGUUCUGUUGGUAAAUAUCAAAAAUAUGUACUUACCAGGCCAGCCAAGGCCUCAGUUUUUCUUUUCCCCUCUACAGCUGGAGAACAAGAAAAGACUGCAUCGCUAUCUGUAAGUUGUGCUUGGACGUUGAUAGUAAAUUGCAAAUACUAAAUACUAAUCGGGCCAGAAAGGCCAAGUGUUUUUUUUUCAUCUCAACAGCUAAACUAGUCAACAAGACAAGGAAGGCCUUGCCAACUCUAUGUCUUGUUUGGAGAGGGGCAGCUUGUCGUUUCAAGAUGGACCUGUCUUGGAUGACGACAAGUGAUUAGAAGUAGGAAGAUCUGGCUGACAACACUUGACUUGCUUUCCAUGUGAACUCUGAAGUUGGGGAUUUCAGCUCCAAGAUUAUCCUUUGAAGCCGGGUGUGGAUCACUGGUUGUCGCAGAUUUCCACCUAAGGCACGAGGCUGUAGACUAGCUACUUCUUAAAUGGCUCCCGGCAGAAUUUCCAUCAAGCUUCUUGAGGACUACCGAGACUGAUGACAACAGUGGCUGAACGCCGACGUUUCCACCAAUUAACCUGGACCCACAUUUAUGGCUGUCCCUACCACGGAAAUUUGUGCUUAAAAUCAAUCAACAUUCUAUGUUUACACCAUCAGUACUGAAGUUGGGUGCCAGCUGAGUAAGCAAAGAAUCCUUUGAAGUCAUAACUGAUAUGUCCAAUGUAUAUCUUUAUUGCAUUGCUGCCUACGCAGUUGACACAGUUACAGUAAUCAGUAGUCGUUACAUGGGAUAGUAACAGUUUUUCUGAAAUUGCGCACUGAAAAACAACGAAAGCAACUCUGGAGCGUUAUAGGCGACUUGCUUUUUUCGAUUUUUUCACCCUUUUUUGAGCAACGUUUGUGUCUGAUUGUGGUAGGGGCCUUUCAUCUGAGCUGAAUAAUGAUAAUUCUCACUUUAAGAGGAACUUAGCUGUCAUUCUUUUAAGGGAGAUGAGGAACUUUGCGAGCAGUUGUGGGCUCUGUUAUGAAGAGAGUAUUCAAAAUAUUUCUUUAAAUAAUUUCAAGCUAUUCUAUUAAGUACCCAAAAGCUAUAAGGAUCAAUAUCAUUUGUUUUCAGUGUUUGAAAGUUCUUAAAAAUCAUUGGCCACAAUUCAACAAUAAGGAUAAUGUUCCACAAUUGACACUGUUAACGAAAAAAAAUUCUUGGCUUAGUUGUUUUUCUGCUAUAGCAAAUCCUAACCGAAAGAGGUGAUUCACAGGAACGAUUAACCUAGAACAUCAUGAAUCUCGCUCAAACAUGUACCCAGUUUUAACUUAUAUUUAAAAAAUGGCAAAACAGAUAAGUUUCAAAAGUCCAUGAUGACCUUUGUCAUUAGUUCACGGGCGUGAGCCCAGGGGUGUGUGUUUGUAAGGGGUGUCGCCCCCAUCUGCCGGUAUUGUCAAAUCGUGGUUCAUUCUCGUAUUUUGUUCUUGCCUUCUUGUAUCCGACAUUUGGGAGGUAGUAUUGUACGGUAGCAGAGUUAGAAGAGACGAAAAACAAUGACCAAUUUGAGAGGAGGAUUUUUAAUAUUAAUCCGUUAGGAUUUAUGAAAAAAUAGACAACCACAGGUGGGAAAUAAACCAUUGGAGGAUUAACUCUGAUAUCAGAAAUGGAAGUUAUCCCAUUUAAAUUGCAAACAGAAGGAAAGUUUCCCAACUAAAUGUCUUCUCAUACUUCAGGUGAAUGUAAAACAAACUUGACGUGACAAAACAUGGACAAGGAAAAGAACAGGGGGGGCUGGAAAUCAGACGAAAAAUACACUCUGAAAUUUCUCCGAGGGUUUGUUGGCAAUUUUAAUAACACCACCUUUCAAAAUGGUCUAGCGACUCCCGUUUGUUACAUAUCGUAGAGAGUACUCGUUGCCCAAAACUCUCCCAACCUUAAUUAUACAACUCAAAGUUAAGGACCACUUUUUUGUGAACUUGUAAUUUUUUCCAAGCAAUGAGAGGCGUAUAGUUUCUCCAUAUUUUGUU